rnacentral:rRNA from 1 species
GAGUUUGAUCCUGGCUCAGGAUGAACGCUGGCGGCGUGCCUAACACAUGCAAGUCGAACGGAGUUCUUAAGGAAUGCGGCUUCGGCCAAAUGACUUUUGAACUUAGUGGCGGACGGGUGAGUAACGCGUGAGCAACCUGCCUUUCAGAGGGGGAUAACAUUUGGAAACAGAUGCUAAUACCGCAUAAGAUUACAGUACCGCAUGAUACAGUGAUCAAAGGAGCAAUCCGCUGGAAGAUGGGCUCGCGUCCGAUUAGAUAGUGGUGAGGUAACGGCUCACCAAGUCGACGAUCGGUAGCCGGACUGAGAGGUUGAACGGCCACAUUGGGACUGAGACACGGCCCAGACUCCUACGGGAGGCAGC